UACAGAGGUGGCAAGCGUUGUUCGGAAUUACUGGGCGUAAAGGGCGCGUAGGCGGCCAUCUAAGUCAGACGUGAAAUCCCCCGGCUUAACCUGGGAACUGCGUCUGAUACUGGGUGGCUUGAAUCCGGGAGAGGGAUGCGGAAUUCCAGGUGUAGCGGUGAAAUGCGUAGAUAUCUGGAGGAAUACCGGUGGCGAAGGCGGCAUCCUGGACCGGCAUUGACGCUGAUGAGCGAAAGCUAGGGGAGCAAACGGG
rnacentral:rRNA from 1 species